GGAGGGUGAAAUCCACUGGGUGGAUCUUUGUCUGAUACGCAAAAGGUACACUGCGAGGUGUAUGCGGUUCGACUCCGCCGCCCUCCG
rnacentral:tRNA from 1 species